CCUACGGGAGGCAGCAGUGAGGAAUAUUGGUCAAUGGACGAGAGUCUGAACCAGCCAAGUAGCGUGAAGGAUGACUGCCCUAUGGGUUGUAAACUUCUUUUAUAUGGGAAUAAAAUUUUCCGCGUGAGUGUUUGUGUAUGUACCAUAUGAAUAAGGAUCGGCACACUCCGGUCCAUCAGCCGCGGUAAUCCGGAGGAUCCGAGCGUUGUCCGGAUUUCUUGUGUUUAAAGUGGGCGUAGGUGGAUUGUUAAGUCAGGUGUGAAAGUUUGCGGCUCAACCGUAAAGUUGAAGUUGAUAAUGGCAGUCUUGAGUGCAGUAGAGGUGGGUGGAAUUCGUGGUGUAGCGGUGAAAUGCUUAGAUAUCACGAAGAACUCCGAUUGCGAAGGCAGUUCACUGGACUGCAACUGACACUGAGGCUCGAAAGUGUGGGUAUCAAACAGGAUUAGAUACCCCAGUAGUC
rnacentral:rRNA from 1 species